ACCUGAUGAUGUGGGCAUUUACAAAGUAGGUUGUUGAAAAGCUCCCAAGUGUCAAAGAGAAGUUCCCCAUCCAUUUGUUUGAAAGUUGUGAUUACCCUUCGUAGCU